rnacentral:rRNA from 1 species
GAUAAACGCUGGCGGCGUGCCUAACACAUGCAAGUCGAACGCCCUCUGGCAACAGAGGGAGUGGCGGACGGGUGAGGAACACGUGGGUCAUCUGCCUCGUAGUGAGGAAUACCGGCGAGAAAUCGCCGACAAUACCGCAUCCCCUUCCCUCGCGGGAAGGAAAGCCCUGGCAACAGGGCGCUACGAGAGGAGCCUGCGCCCGAUUAGGUAGUUGGUGGGAUAAAAGCUUACCAAGCCGACGAUCUGUAGCUGGUCUGAGAGGACGAUCAGCCACACUGGGACUGAGACACGGCCCAGACUCCUACGGGAGGCAGCAGUGGGGAAUUUUGGACAAUGGGCGCAAGCCUGAUCCAGCAAUGCCGCGUGCAGGAUGAAGGCCUUCGGGUUGUAAACUGCUUUUGUACGGAACGAAAAGCCCUGGGUUAAUACCCUGGGGUCAUGACGGUACCGUAAGAAUAAGCACCGGCUAACUACGUGCCAGCCGCCGCCGUAAGAC